rnacentral:lncRNA from 1 species
AUAACAUGUCCUAGAGCAGGGAUUCUGAAUCUUUUUUCUGUCAUAGGCUCUCUUUACAAUCCAAGGAAGCCAAUGGACCCCUUCUUUAGAAUCCUGUUUUCUUCCUACAUUAAUGAUGUAAAGAAAUGCUAAGUUGCAAUUAAAGAUUUAUUGGAGUACCAGGACAAGGCAGAAGUCAGAAUGACUGGAGAUGGUGUGGGAUGCAGUGCAUGAACAAAUAGAAGGUGAUUAUCAGAGAAGACCACAAAAGAAAGUAAGCAUCUUUACUGAGGCUUAAAGGAAGGCAAGGAUUCUGAAUGUCAGAGUUGAAGAGAAAGUGCAUUUCUGGAGAGGGAUCAACUGCCCCUGAAUGUACAACAUGAUUGGCAAGUGCCCUACCUGAAAGAGAAGAUCUCAGGAUCUCCAAGAUAACUCUGGUCUCCAAAUUAUAUUGCUAAGAGAGUCCAUAAUCAGUGAGAAUUUAUGGCAUCCAGAAGUCAGUGAAGUAUUAAAGAUGACUG